UUGCUUUGGCAGCACAUAUACUAAAAUUGGAAUGAUGCAGAGAAGAUCAGCAUGGCCCUUGUGCAAGGAUUAUAUGCAAAAUUUUGUGUGCCCUCCAUUGUAC